UAGGGAAUCUUCCACAAUGGACGAAAGUCUGAUGGAGCAACGCCGCGUGAGUGAAGAAGGUUUUCGGAUCGUAAAGCUCUGUUGUUGGUGAAGAAGGAUAGAGGCAGUAACUGGUCUUUAUUUGACGGUAAUCAACCAGAAAGUCACGGCUAACUACGUGCCAGCAGCCGCGGUAAUACGUAGGUGGCAAGCGUUGUCCGGAUUUAUUGGGCGUAAAGCGAGCGCAGGCGGAAUGAUAAGUCUGAUGUGAAAGCCCACGGCUCAACCGUGGAACUGCAUCGGAAACUGUCAUUCUUGAGUGCAGAAGAGGAGAGUGGAACUCCAUGUGUAGCGGUGGAAUGCGUAGAUAUAUGGAAGAACACCAGUGGCGAAGGCGGCUCUCUGGUCUNGCAACUGACGCUGAGGCUCG
rnacentral:rRNA from 1 species